rnacentral:rRNA from 1 species
GACGAACCGUCCUAACGUUGUUCGGAAUCACUGGGCUUAAAGGGCGCGUAGGCGGGUUCCCAAGUCGGUGGUGAAAUCUUUCGGCCCAACCGGAAAACAGCCGCCGAUACUGGGAGUCUUGAGGGAGGUAGGGGUCGAUGGAACUUCCGGUGGAGCGGUGAAAUGCGUAGAUAUCGGAAGGAACGCCGGUGGCGAAAGCGAUCGACUGGACCAUUACUGACGCUGAUGCUCGAAAGCUAGGGGAGCAAACAGG